CCUACGGGUGGUAGCAGUGAGGAAUAUUGGUCAAUGGGCGGAAGCCUGAACCAGCCAAGUCGCGUGAGGGAUUAAGGCCCUGCGGGUCGUAAACCUCUUUUGCCGGGGAGAAGUGGUACGGACGCGUCCGGACCGGGAGAGUACCCGGGGAAAAAGGAUCGGCUAACGCCGUGACCGCAGCCGGGGUAAUACGGAGGAUGCAAGUGGUAUCCGGAUUUAUUGGGUUUAAUGGGUGCGUAGGGGGGCAUCUAAGCCGCCGGGCAAAUGUCGGGGCUCAACCCCGGCCUGCCGUCGAAACUGGGUGCCUUGAGUGGGCUAGAAGUAGGCGGAAUGCGUGGUGGAGCGGUGAAAUGCAUAGAUAUCACGCAGAACCCCGAUUGCGAAGGCAGCAUACCGGCGCCCUACUGACGCUGAGGCACGAAAGUGCGGGUAUCGAACAGGAUUAGAUACCCGUGUAGUC
rnacentral:rRNA from 1 species